AAACUCCCCGACGGUAGAUGGCGCUGAUGGCUUGCUGCACCCCCAAGUUAGCGACAGGGGAAGAGAAACCCUGAAAGACAAUGAGAGAAACUACCACCUCAAGUCUAAUGAUGAAUCUGAGACUAGUCCAACGAAAAGGACUCCGUCUGGAUGAAGACUUUUUCUCAUCUGUUUGACCAAACAGCAGGCUGCCCCUAUCAACGGAUUUGGGCCUCCGCACAACCUACCAGAAUGCAGGGUACAACAUCAAAUGAAUUCCAAUUCUCUGAGAUCUGAGGCACCAACUUGUGUGGCUGCAUGCACGGCAUAAUUUUGAUCACUCCUGACAAAAUCUCACUCCAAGGUUUUUUGAAAAGUUGGCAGCCUCUCUGAGAUCCUGAAGCUCCUUCUCUUUCUCCUCGAUUCUCUGCUGGUGUUUUCUCUGGUUGUCCUCCAAAAGUCUCUGUUAAACAGAUAACUUGGCUUGUCGUGGCUUUUAUGCUCAUCAAUCGUACACAACAAACAAAUCAAUUUCUGGUCGGUACGACAGAAAACCUCGAGCAGUCUGUCAUGUUGAGAGCAGAUCAUCUCCUGAAGUCUUCCAGUGGCUUCAGUUACUUUGUGUCUCUUUCCUGAUUGAAGUUCUUCAUGUCGCUCAAAACGUCACACUCCACAUCUUCAGGUCCAGCAUAACUGGGAGCAGCUCCAUCAGUCUGAAGUUUUGUUUUCUUCAGUUUCUCCACCAUCUCAGCAAGAAUCACAUUCUUUCCUAAAGCAGGUCUUGGAGUGAAGGUCUGUCUGCACUGAGGGCAGCUAUAAACUCUCUUCUGAUCCUCCUGAUUCCAGCAACUCGCGGCCCUGGUAGGAAGGUGUGCAUAAGUAUGGCGGCGUUGCAGAGCCAGGGAUCGUUUUAUGAGCAAGCAUUUGUGACUAAAACCUGAUAAGGACUUUCAUCAGAAGCCAG